rnacentral:misc_RNA from 1 species
UUGAAUACGCUUGGGUGCUGAUGCUGGCCCUUUGGGCAUGUGCUCGCAUUCAAACUAUUUAUCUUCACUUGUGCACCUUUUGUAGUCUUUGAAGUCAACUCUCCGCUGCAAACGCGGGUUUUUGGGGCUUGAGCGCAGGCCCUGGGCUUCAGAGACUAUGUUUAUACACCCUAUUAAAGUUACAGAAUGUCUUUUUAACGGCCUUAACUGGUCAUUAAACCUAAUA